rnacentral:rRNA from 1 species
UGGGGAAUAUUGCACAAUGGGGGAAACCCUGAUGCAGCGACGCCGCGUGGAGGAAGAAGGUCUUCGGAUUGUAAACUCCUGUCCGAGGGUAAGAAGAAAGUGACGUAACCCUUGGAGGAAGCACCGGCUAACUACGUGCC